rnacentral:misc_RNA from 1 species
GAUGAAGAACGUAGCGAAAUGCGAUAAGUAGUGUGAAUUGCAGAAUUCAGUGAAUCAUCGAAUCUUUGAACGCACAUUGCGCCCGCUGGUAUUCCGGCGGGCAUGCCUGUUCGAGCGUCAUUUCAACCCUCAAGCCCCCGGGUUUGGUGUUGGGGAUCGGCUCUGCCUUCUGGCGGUGCCGCCCCCGAAAUACAUUGGCGGUCUCGCUGCAGCCUCCAUUGCGUAGUAGCUAACACCUCGCAACUGGAACGCGGCGCGGCCAUGCCGUAAAACCCCAACUUCUGAAUGUUGACCUCGGAUCAGGUAGGAAUACCCGCUGAACUUAAGCAUAUCAAUAAGCGGAGGA